rnacentral:misc_RNA from 1 species
GUGAAUUAGACAUGCUUGGUGUCUUCGCUUCGGCAAGGCCCUUGCUUAAAUCACAUCCUAACACCUGUGAACUGUAAGACGUCUGAUGAGGUCUUUGGCCAAGUCAUCGUACUGCCCAUUUUUAACAAACAAUUAAUGUAACAAACGUAGUCUUAUUAUAACCUAAUA